rnacentral:lncRNA from 1 species
CCUGCUCCAUGUUGUGGCACACCUCUUCCUGGUUUUUGUCCAUGAGAAAUCCCUCUACCAUGCAAGGACAACUCUCCACACCCUCCUCUAGAGGCGUGAGGCUUUAGGCAACCUAGAUCCCAUUAGGAGAGAGGGUCCCAGGCAAAUUGGACUCUCUCCUAGCACUGGCGUUAGUCCUCUCAUGCCGCGCGCCCCCCUUUCCAAAGGGGGUGCACGUGAAGCCUUCUUUGCUGCUCAUUAGACGGC